GUGGGGAAUAUUGGGCAAUGGGCGAAAGCCUGACCCAGCAACGCCGCGUGAAGGAAGAAGGUUUUCGGAUCGUAAACUUCUAUCCUUGGUGAAGAUAAUGACGGUAGCCAAGAAGGAAGCCCCGGCUAACUACGUGCCAGCAGCCGCGGUAAUACGUAGGGGGCAAGCGUUGUCCGGAAUGAUUGGGCGUAAAGGGCGCGUAGGCGGCCUGGUAAGUCUGGAGUGAAAGUCCUGCUUUUAAGGUGGGAAUUGCUUUGGAUACUGUCGGGCUUGAGUGCAGGAGAAGUAAGCGGAAUUCCCGGUGUAGCGGUGAAAUGCGUAGAGAUCGGGAGGAACACCAGUGGCGAAGGCGGCUUACUGGACUGUAACUGACGCUGAGGCGCGAAAGUGUGGGGAGCAAACAGGAUUAGAAACCCGAGUAGUCC
rnacentral:rRNA from 1 species